UCUGUAGGUGGUUUAUGAAGUUCCCUGUCAAAUAUCAGGGCUCAACCUUGAGAAGGCAGUGAAGUACUCAUAGACUAGAGUACGGUAGGGGUAGAGGGAACUCCGCGUGGAGCGGUGAAAUGCGUAGAGAUGCGGAGGAACACCAGUGGCGAAGGCGCUCUACUGGGCCGUUACUGACACUGAGAGACGAAAGCUAAGGCAGUGAAAA
rnacentral:rRNA from 1 species